rnacentral:rRNA from 1 species
GUAACAAGGUCUCCGUUGGUGAACCAGCGGAGGGAUCAUUACCGAGUUUACAACUCCCAAACCCCUGUGAACAUACCUUAUGUUGCCUCGGCGGAUCAGCCCGCGCCCCGUAAAAAGGGACGGCCCGCCGCAGGAACCCUAAACUCUGUUUUUAGUGGAACUUCUGAGUAUAAAAAACAAAUAAAUCAAAACUUUCAACAACGGAUCUCUUGGUUCUGGCAUCGAUGAAGAACGCAGCAAAAUGCGAUAAGUAAUGUGAAUUGCAGAAUUCAGUGAAUCAUCGAAUCUUUGAACGCACAUUGCGCCCGCCAGUAUUCUGGCGGGCAUGCCUGUUCGAGCGUCAUUUCAACCCUCAAGCCCAGCUUGGUGUUGGGAGCUGCAGUCCUGCUGCACUCCCCAAAUACAUUGGCGGUCACGUCGAGCUUCCAUAGCGUAGUAAUUUACAUAUCGUUACUGGUAAUCGUCGCGGCCACGCCGUUAAACCCCAACUUCUGAAUGUUGACCUCGGAUCAGGUAGGAAUACCCG